rnacentral:lncRNA from 1 species
GGGCGGUGGUGGAAGCAGAACAAAUCACAGCAGUUCUUUCCCUCUUCUCCUCAGUCAGGGAAACAGGUCUGAGUGAGGCGAACACAGGAAGGCGCAGCUGUCUGAGGAAGAGUUCCAGGGGCGCAGAUCGUUUUUGUUUUCAUUGCAUGGAUUUGUGUGAACUCUAAACAGACGUGAUGCCAACUUUAGGAUCGAAGAAGAAGGACAGUCAGUCCAGAGCGGACUGGUACAUUGGAGCCAUGCCGCAGCUGAGCAAUGAGAUGCAGCUGAGCAUCAUGAACAGGGUGAAGAACGGAGAGAUCUCCAUCGACGACGCUCUGAACCAGGCCAGGGAGGGCCAGGAGCAGCUGCUGAAGCAGAAGACUCUGACCGAGGAGGAACAACAACCGUCACAGUACAACUUCAGUGUUCACAAGCACGGUCGCUACAGGUGGCAGAAGCGGGUCCUGCAGAUGGAUUUCAAGACCAAAAUGCUGUGCAGCAUAGAGAAAGGCAUCGUCAAGCGGCAGCUUCCCUUCUCUAUUGUCAAGAGUUGUGACGACGGUGUGGGCUCCAAGUUCACUAUUUCCUUCAAAGGGCACCAUGACU